rnacentral:rRNA from 1 species
CGACCCUAGGUCAGGCGGGACUACCCGCUGAGUUUAAGCAUAUAAAUAAGCGGAGGAGAAGAAACAUACAAGGAUUCCCCUAGUAACGGCGAGCAAAUCGGGAGCAGCCCAGCUUGAGAAUCGGGCGGCUGUGCUGUCCGAAUUGUAGUCUGGAGAGGCGUCCUCAUCGACGUACCUGGCCCAAGUCCCCUGGAAAGGGGUGCCUGGGAGGAUGAGAGCCCCGUCCGGCCCGGACCCUGUCGCCCCACGAGGCGCCGUCAACGAGUCGGGUUGUUUGGGAAUGCAUGUGAGUGACCGAUAGCGAACAAGUACCGCGAGGGAAAGAUGAAAAGGACUUUGAAAAGAGAGUCAAAGAAUGCUUGAAAUUGCCGGGAGGGAAGCAGAUGGGGGCCGGCGAUGCGCCCCGGCCGUAUGCGGAAUGGCUCUUGCUGGUCCACCGCUUGGCUCGGGGUGUGGACUGUUGUUGGCCGUGCCGGCGGCCAAAGCCCGGGGGCCCCAGGUGCCCCCGAUGGCCGUUGUCGGCACGGCCAAUACCCGCGCGCCGAAAGGCGUGUCCCUCGGGGCACUGCGCUGCAAUGGCCUGCGGGCUCCCCAUCCGACCUGUCUUGAAACACGCACCAAGGAGUCUGACAUGCGUGCGAGUCGACGGGUUCCGAAACCUGGGAUGCGCAAGGAAGCUGAUGAGCGGGAGGCCCUCACGGGCCGCACCGCUAGCCGACCCUGAUCUUCUGUGAAGGGUUCAAGUUCGAGCAUGCCUGUCGGGACCCGAAAGAUGGUGAACUAUGCCUGAGCGGGGCGAACCCAGAGGAAACUCUGGUGGAGGCUCGAAGCGAUACUGACGUGCAAAUCGUUCUUCUGACUUGGGUAUAGGGGCGAAAUACUAAUCGAACCAUCUAGUAGCUGGUUCCCUCCGAAGUUUCCCUCAGGAUAGCUGGAGCCCAUUACGAGUUCUAUCAGGUAAAGGCAAUGAUUAGAGGCAUUGGGGACGCAACGUCCUCGACCUAUUCUCAAAAUUUAAAUAGUUAGCAUGGCGCGGUUGCUCCGGUGAGCCGUGCCACGGAAUCGGGUGCUCCAAGUGGGCCAUUUUUGGUAAGCAGAACUGGCGUUGCGGGAUGAACCGGAAGCCGGGUUACGGUACCCAACUGCGCGCUAACCUAGAACACACAAAGGGUGUUGGUCGAUUAAGACAGCAGGACGGUGGUCAUUGAAGUCGAAAUCCGCUAAGGAGUGUGUAACAACUCACCUGCCAAAUCAACUAGCCCCGAAAAUGGAUGGUGCUGAAGCGCGCAACCCACACCCGGCCAUCUGGGCGAGCGCCAUGCCCCGAUGAGUAGGAGGGCGCGGCGGCCGCUGCAAAACCCGGGGAUGUGAGCCCGGGCGGAGCGGCCGUCGAUGCAGAUCUAGGUGGUAGUUGCAAAUAUUGAAAUGAGAACUUUGAAGGCCGAAGAGGAGAAAGGUUCCAUGUGAACGGUACUUGCACAUGGGUAAGCCGAUCCUAAGGGAUGGGGAAACCCCGACAGAUAGCGCGAUCACGCGUAUCCCCCGAAAGGGAAUCGGGUUAAGAUUUCCCGAGCCAGGAUGUGGCGGUUGACAGCGACGUUAGGAAAUCUGGAGACGCCGGCGGGGGCCUCGGGAAGAGUUAUCUUUUCUGCUUAACAGCCUGCCAACCCUGGAAACGGUUCAGCCGUAGGUAGGGUCCAGUGGCCGGAAGAGCACCGCACAUCGCGCGGUGUCCGGUGCGCCCCCGGCGGCCCAUGAAAACCCGGAGGACCGAGUACCGUUCACGCUCGGUCAUACUCAUAACCGCAUCAGGUCUCCAAGGUGAACAACAUCUGGCCAAUGGAACAAUGUAGGCAAGAGAAGUCGGCAAAACGAAUCCGUAACUUCGGGAAAAGGAUUGGCUCUGAGGUCUGGGCUCGGGGGUCCCGGCCCCGAACCCGUCGGAUGUCGGCGGAUUGCUCGAGCUGCUCACGCGGCGGGAGCGGGUCGCCGCGUGCCGGCCGGGGGACGGACCGGGAAUCGCCCCUUCGGGGGCUUUCCCCGAGCAUGAAACAGUCGACUCAGAACUGCUACGGACAAGGGGAAUCCGACUGUUUAAUUAAAACAAAGCAUUGCGAUGGUCCUCGCGGAUGCUGACGCAAUGUGAUUUCUGCCCAGUGCUCUGAAUGUCAAAGUGAAGAAAUUCAACCAAGCGCGGGUAAACGGCGGGAGUAACUAUGACUCUCUUAAGGUAGCCAAAUGCCUCGUCAUCUAAUUAGUGACGCGCAUGNNNNNNNNNNNNNNNNNNNNNNNNNNNNNNNNNNNNNNNNNNNNNNNNNNNNNNNNNNNNNNNNNNNNNNNNNNNNNNNNNNNNNNNNNNNNNNNNNNNNAUCUACUAUCCAGCGAAACCACAGCCAAGGGAACGGGCUUGGCGGAAUCAGCGGGGAAAGAUGACCCUGUUGAGCUUGACUCUAGUCCGACUUUGUGAAAUGAGCUGAGAGGUGUAGGAUAAGUGGGAGCCCUCACGGGCGCAAGUGAAAUACCACUACUUUUAACGUUAUUUUACUUAUUCUGUGGGUCGGAAGCGGGGCAUGUCCCCUCCUUUUGGCUCCAAGGCCCGGUCUUACCGGGCCGAUCCGGGUGGAAGACAUUGUUAGGUGGGGAGUUUGGCUAGGGCGGCACAUCUGUUAAAAGAUAAUGAGGUGUCCUAAGAUGAGCUCAACGAGAACAGAAAUCUCGUGUGGAACAAAAGUGUAAAAGCUCGUUUGAUUCUGAUUUCUAGUACGACUAUGAACCGUGAAAGCAUGGCUUAUCAAUCCUUUAGAUCUUCGGAGUUUUAAGCUAGAGGUGUCAGAAAAGUUACCACAGGGAUAACUGGCUUGUGGCAGCCAAGCGUUCAUUGCGACGUUGCUUUUUGAUCCUUCGAUGUCGGCUCUACCUAUCACUGUGAAGCAGAAUUCACCAAGUGUUGGAUUGUUCACCCACCAAUAGGGGACGUGAGCUGGGUUUAGACCGUCGUGAGACAGGUUUGUUUUACCCUACUGAUAACAGUGCCGCGAUAGAAAUUCAACCUAGUACGAGAGGAACCGUUGAUUCACACAAUUGGUCAUCGCGCUUGGUUUAAAACCUAGUGGCGCGAAGCUACCGUGUGCCGGAUUAUGACUGAACGCCUUUAAGUCAGAAUCCAAGCUAGCAUGCGACGUCUGCGCCCGCCGCCCGCCCCGAUCCACGUUAGGGGCGCUUGCGCCUCCAAGGGCCUAUGCCAUUGGCUAAGCCGGUCCGGCCGACGUGCCGCAGCCGACUGCCUUGAAGCUCCCUUCCCAACGGGCGGUGGGCUGAAUCCUUUGCAGAUGACUUAAAUACGCGACGGGGCAUUGUAAGUGGCAGACUGGCACGAUCCACUGAGAACCAGUCCCAUGUCGCACGGAUCGU